GUGCAGGCAGGCCCAUUGAAACCCAUUUUGGCUGCUUACGCCUGCAAUCUAGUUCUUGUGGUCAUGAUCCAAUCCUCAUGACCAAAGGUGAGAGUAAGAAUGAAGAUUAACCAGUAGAUCAAGAACUUCGCCUUCUGGCUCAGCUCCCUUUUCAUCACAACAGUACAGCAAAGCGAAUGCAAAACCGCCCCUGCUGCACCAAUUCUCUGACCAAUCUCACACUCCAUUGUCCCCUCACUCCUG